rnacentral:tRNA from 3 species
UCCCCGGUAGCUCAAUUGGUAGAGUAGGUGGCUGUUAACCACUUGGUUCCUGGUUCGAGUCCAGGCCGGGGAGCCA